rnacentral:misc_RNA from 1 species
AACGCAUCUUGCACUCUCUGGUAUUCCGGAGAGUAUGUCUGUUGGAGUGUCUUGAAUUCUUCAACCCCACCGUUUCUUGCAAACGCGUGGGUGCUUGGAUUCUGAGCGCUGCUGGCUUCGGCCUAGCUCGUUCGUAAUGCAUUAGCAUCCCGAUGACAAGUUUGGAUUGACUUGGCGUAAUAGACUAUUCGCUGAGGAGUAAGUGGCCUUCGGGUUACUGAGCCAACUCGUUUCAGGAAGCUUCUAAUCCCUAAAGUCUACCUUUUAGAUUAGAUCUCCAAUCAGGCAGGAUUACCCGCUGAACUUAA